rnacentral:rRNA from 1 species
ACCGAAGCUAUGGACUUGAAAAAGUGGUAGGGGAGCAUUGUAGUGUCGUCGAAGGUGUACUGCGAGGUAUGCUGGAGAAGCUACAAAAGAAAAUGUAGGCAUAAGUAACGAUAAUGCGGGCGAGAAACCCGCACACCGAAAGACUAAGGUUUCCUCAGCGAUGCUAAUCAGCUGAGGGUUAGUCGGGACCUAAGGCGAACCCGAAAGGGGUAGUCGAUGGACAACAGGUUAAUAUUCCUGUACUUCUUAUAAUUGCGAUGGGGUGACGGAGUAAUGAAAGCACCGCGGACUGACGGAAUAGUUCGUUAAAGCAUGUAGCUAUAGAACCAGAUUAAGAGUUAGGUUUUGGCAAAGUGUGAUAGUACCACAAAACUUCGGUAGCGUGGAUAGUGUGCCUAAAGGCUUCCAAGAAAAACCUCUAAGCUUCAGGUUAUGAGCGAUCGUACCCCAAACCGACACAGGUGGUCGGGUAGAGAAUACCAAGGCGCUUGAGAGAACUCGGGUGAAGGAACUAGGCAAAAUGGCACCGUAACUUCGGGAGAAGGUGCGCCGGCUAGGGUGAAGGACUUGCUCCGUAAGCUCUGGCUGGUCGAAGAUACCAGGUGGCUGCGACUGUUUAUUAAAAACACAGUACUCUGCAAACUCGAAAGAGGAAGUAUAGGGUAUGACGCCUGCCCGGUGCCGGAAGGUUAAUUGAUGGGGUUAGCGUAUGCGAAGCUCUUGAUCGAAGCCCCGGUAAACGGCGGCCGUAACAAUAACGGUCCUAAGGUAG